rnacentral:rRNA from 1 species
GAUGAACGCUGGCGGCUUGCCUAAUACAUGCAAGUCGAGCGAAAAGACGAGGAUCUUGCGCCUCUCACGUUAGCGGAAGACGGGUGAGUAACAUGUUUAUAACCUACCUGUCAGACUGGGAUAACUUCGGGAAACCGGAGAUAAUACCAUAUAAUAUAUUUAUCCGCAUGGUUCAAUAGUGAAAGACGGUUUUUCUGUCACUUAUAGAUGUAUAGCCGCCUCAUUAGAUAGUUGGUACGUUAACGGCUUUCCACGGCUACCCUGCGUAGCAGACCUGAGGGGGUGAUCGCACACACUGGAGCGGAGACGGGGUCCAGAGUACUACGAGAGGCAGCAGUAGGGUAUCGUCCGCAAUGGGCGAAAGCCUGACGGAGCAGCGCCGAGUGAGUGAUGAAGGUGUUCGGAUCGGAAAACUGUGUUACUAGGUAAGAACAAAUGUGUAAGGAAAUAUGGACGUAUUGACGGUACUGAAUCAGAAAGCAACGGCUAACUACGUG